UACCAAAAUUCUUUGUCAGGGUGUUUCUGCGUACAUUCUAGUACAACUUACACAUACAGAAGGGCCUGUUACAGUUUUGGAAGAGCAAUACUACCCACCCUCGAUCUAUCCAUCGUUUUGAUGGAGUCAUGGUUGAAACCUAGUUGAACAAUCUUCGUUUUGAGGAUAUAUCAGCGCUUUUAUUUCGGGUACGGAGGAACUUAAGAGUUGAGCUUUGGAUCUGAAAAGAAUUAUUAUGCCAUGGCUCGUAGUAAAGAACCUCACAUCA
rnacentral:snoRNA from 15 species